rnacentral:rRNA from 1 species
CCUACGGGCUGCACCAGUGGGGAAUAUUGGACAAUGGGCGAAAGCCUGAUCCAGCAAUGCCGCGUGUGUGGAGAAGGUCUUCGGAUUGUAAAGCACUUUCGACGGGGACGAUGAUGAAGGUACCCGUAGAAGAAGCCCCGGCUAACUUCGUGCCAGCAGCCGCGGUAAUACGAAGGGGGCUAGCGUUGCUCGGAAUGACUGGGCGUAAAGGGCGCGUAGGCGGUUUAUGCAGUCAGAUGUGAAAUCCCCGGGCUUAACCCGGGAACUGCAUUUGAGACGCAUAGACUAGAGGUCGAGAGAGGGUUGUGGAAUUCUCAGUGUAGAGGUGAAAUUCGUAGGUAUUGGGAAGAACACCGGUGGCGAAGGCGGCAACCUGGCUCGAUACUGACGCUGAGGCGCGAAAGCGUGGGGAGCAAACAGGAUUAGAUACCCGAGUAGUC